AGUCAGAUAGCUCAGUCAGUAGAGCAUGAGACUCUUAAUCUCAGGGUUGUGAGUUCAAUCGCCACGUUGGGUA